UUACGGUACCGUCUUCUGUUUUUUCCUGCUUUUCGAAUGCUCGCCCUUCUUGAUGUCAAUGUUACUGUGAAGUUGCAGCGAUGAACCAAUAAUGGUGACUAUAUGAAUAUUGUUGCAGAUUAUUGAUGAAGAAGGGAGAUGAGUUUUCAGAGAAAUCUUCAGAUGAAUAUCGACGAGAUAUUGCAGAGAAACAUAGAUAGAGUUGAAGUCGUUGAUAGAGGUUUUCGGUGUAUAUUCAGGAGAGUUGCCGGAUGAGGGAAAAGAUGGAAGUGGUUGAGGUGUUAACGUUUGUCGUGGAAUUGGAGAAUCCGAUGGUGGAUGAUGUCCAUGUGAAUCCAGGUGGAAGUCUCGUUGUAUUCUUUGAGGAAUGUUUGAAGGAGAUUCAGGCUUUGAAGAUGGUGAAGUUGAUUCAGGCUUUGAUGAUGGCGGUGAUUCUUCUGGGAAAUUGAGAGGGCUAUUGAGAAGCAAAGGCAAAAGGAAAACACCAAGAUGAUAUGAAUUUGGAACAAAGACGCAUAACACGAAGUUUUGGAAGCUUGAAGUUUGAAACAU